rnacentral:rRNA from 1 species
GCAUAUCAAUAAGCGGAGGAAAAGAAACUAACAAGGAUUCCCCUAGUAACUGCGAGUGAAGCGGGAAGAGCUCAAAUUUCGAAUCUGGCGGCCCCGCCGUCCGAGUUGUAAUCUGGAGAAGCGUUUUCCGCGCCGGACCGUGUACAAGUCCCUUGGAACAGGGCGUCGUAGAGGGUGAGAAUCCCGUCUUUGACACGGACCCCCGGUGCUCUGUGAUGCGCUCUCGAAGAGUCGAGUUGUUUGGGAAUGCAGCUCAAAAUGGGUGGUAAAUUCCAUCUAAAGCUAAAUAUUGGCGAGAGACCGAUAGCGAACAAGUACCGUGAGGGAAAGAUGAAAAGCACUUUGGAAAGAGAGUAAAACAGUACGUGAAAUUGUUGAAAGGGAAACGCUUGAAGUCAGUCGCGUCUGCCGGAACUCAACCUCGCUUUCUGCCUGGUGCAAUUUCCGGUCCGACGGGCCAGCAUCGGUUUCGAGCGACGGACACUGGCGCGGGGAAGGUGGCGGCUCCGGCCGUGUUAUAGCCCCGCGUCGCGAACGUCGCCCGGGACCGAGGAAUCCGGCGCAAGCCUGGGAUGCUGGCGUAAUGGCUUUAAGCGACCCGUCUUGAAACACGGACCAAGGAGUGCUACGUGCUCGCGAGUGUUUGGGUGGAAAACCCGAACGCGCAAUGAAAGUGAAAGUCGAUACCCCUCGCGGGGGCACCGACGCCCGAGCCCGAUGUUUUCGGAGGGCCUUGCGGUAGAGCGAGUGCGUUGCGACCCGAAAGAUGGUGAACUAUUCCUGAGGAGGGCGAAGCCAGAGGAAACUCUGGUGGAGGCUCGUAGCGGUUCUGACGUGCAAAUCGAUCGCAGGACUUGGGUAUAGGGGCGAAAGACUAAUCGAACCAUCUAGUAGCUGGUUCCUGCC